rnacentral:rRNA from 1 species
UACGGGGGGAGCAAGCGUUGUUCGGAUUUACUGGGCGUAAAGGGCGCGUAGGCGGUAGCACAAGUCAGUUGUGAAAUCUCCGGGCUUAACUCGGAAAGGUCAACUGAUACUGUGCGACUAGAGUGCAGAAGGGGCAACUGGAAUUCUCGGUGUAGCGGCGAAAUGCGUAGAUAUCGAGAGGAACACCUGCGGCGAAGGCGGGUUGCUGGGCUGACACUGACGCUGAUGCGCGAAAGCCAGGGGAGCGAACGGG